AUGGCCUAUGGCCACACUGAGCAUGCACAAUCUCAUCUAAUCUUGGAAAGCAAGCAGGGUUGGCCUGGUUUGUAUGUGGGUGGGAGAUUGCCUGGGCAGGUGGUGAUCAGCAGCACAAAGUCCAGCUGGAGGCCAGU
ensembl:rRNA 5S_rRNA 5S ribosomal RNA